AGUGAACGCUGGCGGUAGGCCUAACACAUGCCAGUCGAACGGCAGCACAGUAAGAGCUUGCUCUUACGGGUGGCGAGUGGCGGACGGGUGAGGAAUACAUCGGAAUCUACUUUUUCGUGGGGGAUAACGUAGGGAAACUUACGCUAAUACCGCAUACGACCUACGGGUGAAAGCAGGGGAUCUUCGGACCUUGCGCGAUUGAAUGAGCCGAUGUCGGAUUAGCUAGUUGGCGGGGUAAAGGCCCACCAAGGCGACGAUCCGUAGCUGGUCUGAGAGGAUGAUCAGCCACACUGGAACUGGGCCACGGUCCAGACUCCUACGGGAGGCAGCAGUGGGGAAUAUUGGACAAUGGGCGCAAGCCUGAUCCAGCCAUACCGCGUGGGUGAAGAAGGCCUUCGGGUUGUAAAGCCCUUUUGUUGGGAAAGAAAAGCAGCAGGUUAAUACCCCGCUGUUCUGACGGUACCCAAAGAAUAAGCACCGGCUAACUUCGUG
rnacentral:rRNA from 1 species